UAUCACAAGUGUGUACCUUUUAUCUUGCACGUGCCUGAAGCCUUGAAUUCCUGUGGUCAACACUCAGAUGCCUUCUCUAAGCUUGUGAGACUGAAUUCACUCUUCUCUUUUUUUUUUUGUUUACUUUUCAGUGUGACUGUCAGCCUCAUCUUGUGUGCCUCUUCAGGGAUCCACCCCUCUUUCUCUGAGUUCCGCUUUCUCCGGCGCCGAGAGAAAUCCUGAGAGACUCUCCAUUCUUCUCAGUACAAAAAUACCCUGGUGAAACUGUCUGCAUUCCUAGUGGUAACAUAAGCAGACCCACCCCGACCAUCACUUCAGAAUAUCAGGUUUUGUGUGAUGCUCCACCCACCGGAACAAAUUGUGGUGCUGUGAGGUCCAUCCCGAAGAGGCCUCUGGGAGGAGGCCAAGCUGACAGCCUGAAGGAGGGGGUCAGCUUUGUGGAACCUGGAGGCCACGGGACAAUGACCUAAUGCAUCUGCUGAUCGGCCAAAAAUAAGAAAAGGGGAACUGCUUUGAGCAACUAACGGUUCUGGAAAGUACCAGAAAUAAUGGCCACGGAAAAGGGAACUGCAGCAAGGCCUGAGGUGACCCUGCUUUGCAGCAAGAAAUGAGGCUUGCUCUAACCCAUAAAAGGUAAAAAAGGCUUGAAGCUUCGUAUGAUUGGAGGGUCCCAUUGGGGUGGGAGACAGAAAGGUUUAAAGGUCGUAAGAACAGAACCUUGGGUGGAACUACUUCAGGGAGGACAAGGCUGAGGACUCGAUAAAGGAGAUAGUCUCACCACCCUGGAUACAGGGUGGAUUUCCCGAGACCUGUCAGGUAAUAACAGGGGAUAGGGUGUGGAGUGCCUUUUCUCCCUUCCGAUGUGCUUGCAGCUAAUGGAUUUGUUAUAAGAUUAUCCGAACAGGUGUUGUUGAUUUUUCUUGUAAUAAAAGGUAACAAUUGGAUUUUA